UGGGGAAUAUUGCACAAUGGGCGCAAGCCUGAUGCAGCCAUGCCGCGUGUAUGAAGAAGGCCUUCGGGUUGUAAAGUACUUUCAGCGGGGAGGAAGGGAGUAAAGUUAAUACCUUUACUCAUUGACGUUACCCGCAGAAGAAGCACCGGCUAACUCCGUGCCAGCAGCCGCGGUAAUACGGAGGGUGCAAGCGUUAAUCGGAAUUACUGGGCGUAAAGCGCACGCAGGCGGUUGGUUAAGUCAGGUGUGAAAUCCCCGGGCUCAACCUGGGAACUGCAUCUGAUACUGGCAAGCUUGAGUCUCGUAGAGGGGGGUAGAAUUCCAGGUGUAGCGGUGAAAUGCGUAGAGAUCUGGAGGAAUACCGGUGGCGAAGGCGGCCCCCUGGACGAAGACUGACGCUCAGGUGCGAAAGCGUGGGGAGCAAACAGG
rnacentral:rRNA from 1 species